CAAUGUGAGAGCAAUUUGGCUAGGACAACUGUGACCCCAUUUAUGGCCAGGGUUGAUUGAGCUAAUCUGGCUGGCUAGGCAGGUAUUUUCUUCCUCUCUCGCAGUUCCUUGUACAUCCCUCUUGAAGCUGUGCACUCUAUCAAAGAGGACAGCCUUGCCGAAAUACAGACUAUUCUUGGUUGAAAGUAUACAAGUAGCUGUACUCUGCUCCUAGAACCUCCAAACAAACUCUCUAGAUUCAAAUGUUACAAAGUUGCUACAGUUCUCUGUGGUUAGAACCAUGGUAG
rnacentral:snRNA from 1 species